rnacentral:lncRNA from 1 species
CAAAGUUCCUGGGAGCUUGAGGACAGGUGUGCAGCCUUGCUUGCUGUCUACCCUGGUUCUCAGAGCACUUUCCAAAGAGCUUCCAUGGUGACGUCAUCAGGUCCCAAGUGGGGAAACGGAGCCUGGACACUGCUGUGCCGCUCCGUCUUACGCAGGAGGAGACCAGCGCGGCAGGACCUGGUUACCUGCCCAAGGUCAUACAAGCUGAAAGUGGCCAAGCCAAGAUUUGAACCAGGUUUAUCUGGGUCCAAAGCCAUUGCUUCUGGGAGCCGAGUGAGAGAGCCGGGUCUGUGAUGCUGUGAUGAGGAAACUGAGGCUCCGAGGCUCCUGACAUGCUGAACUCACCCAGCUGGAAAGUGGAAAGUGACAGAGCAGGGAUGUGCUCUUCCCACCUGACUGCACUGACGGACCAGAGUGGGGCUGCUGGGAGUCGAAACUGCCAAGUGUGGCUUGUCAGGGCCCUUGUCUGCAGCAUGCCCAAAACUGAAAAAUAAAUUGACUCAAGGGAGGGCGUUAGCCGGAUGGCGGGCCUGUGGGAGCUCGGUAUUUUUAGUCAUUUUGUCAUACAGACCAGGAUGGAAAGAUGAGAAACCACAGGGGCUGGCACACGCCUCGGGAUGAACUCAUGAGCCCAAAAUAGGUGGAGCCGAAGCCCUCAGAUGCUGGUCGUGGGGCGUCUGUGCUGACAAGCCACAGAAGUGCUAGGUUCUUUUUUGUGUUUUUCUGGGGCCCCAGACCUCUUUUAGAAGGUUGUAAUCAAAGGAUAUUUGAGCUAGAAAGAACCUUGAAGAUUUCAGAGUCUACUCCCUCUCUUGUACUAACAGGGAAACUGAGGCUGAGAGAAGAGCAGUUUCACAAACAUGAGCAUCAGAGCCAGGCCCUGUCCAGGCCCCUCAGCCGCAUCCUUCCCCCACGCCCCUCUGCCUGCCCGCCAGCCCUUACCCUGGCUGCCUCGCCCAUCCCAGGUGAGGAUGAGGCCGAGGCCGAGUGUGGAGAGUGCAGCUGCCAUGCAGGGAGCUAGAAAGCCCCGGCUCCGAUUCAGCCCCUUCGCUUGUGAACUUAGUGACCGUGGCUCUGCUGCUUUACCUUUUCUAUGAUGCCCAUUUCUCAAAUCACGAUGUUAUGGCUUUUUGUGAGAUUAUGAGACAAUAUAUAAACGUGACUUCCUGCUCCACCAACUUGGGGGAAUUUCUGGAAGGAGGGAGGUAUGUGAGGUGGUGUAGGAGACCCGUUGGUACCCUCCCACCAGCCAGUCCCUCCUUCCUCCCUCCUGGCAGAACCAGAUCGUGUCUGGGAGCUUCUCUCAUGGCAGGUGCCUCAAAGUGGUGGUCAGCCCCCAGGACAGGAGCAUCAGGAUGAUUGUAGUGACCUCAUUCUCCCGGCCAGGAACUGUUCAGUGUGUGCUUGCAAAACGGUUCUGACGAAUAAAAGAUGAAAGGACAUCUGCUGGAGGCUUCCAGGGAAGGUUCCUCCCUGAUUAAAAGGAUAAAAAAUCACAUGGGAAGAAACAGUCUCUGGAAAUUGUCAUGAAAAUGUGACAACUGGGUCUAUUACAGCUUCACCAUGAGGGGGUCAACCUGAGGACAGAGGAGAGCAGAGCAGAAAGAUGAAAAGAACCUGGGUCCUCGACAAGGGCCUUGCCUCUGACUGCUUGCUACAUGAGAUCACAAAUUCCUCGUCAUUUAAGCCAUUUACCUCAGAGGCUUUUGAUAUUUGAAGCCCAGAUCAUUCUAUCUGCUCCAGAUGAGUCCGGACAGAAGUACAUAGUAAUUUUACUUUUAAUGCCAAGGCUGACUCAGGACUUGACUCUCCUUGAGGCCCUUUCAAAAGACAGUGCAACCUCAUUAAUCCAGCAAAAUCUCCCUCUUUUAUGUGAACUUCCUGACGCAGCCUUUUAGCCCCUUGCUCCCGAGGGCUGCGUGUCGUGUUCAAGGCAUAUCACACUUAGAUCACAGGGUCAGCCAGGACAAUGAUGCCAGAAGACAUGGUGAGUGAUGUUUGCAUCAGUGGGUGUUAACCUGGUGGUGCUGGGCACCAAGCCCCACCCCAGCAAAUCACGAGGUUGGGGAGCUCGGUCUUCUGGGUCCAUCCCCUGGUCUGACAGUCCUCUUCCCACCUUGUGGUUCCAGCAUCCUCCUCGUGUUCUCUCACCAUUCCUCAACCGGGACCUGCCCUUGGAGGGUGGGCAGGAUCAAAUUUCCAGUGAGCAGGAGCUCAGGGGCUCAGUUCUGGCUCAGGUGCGAAUUCCCUGGAGAGGAGCCACGUCCCCAGUCUGAGCCUCGGUUUCCUCACCUAAUCAAUGAUGAGGUGGGGUUAUAGCAAGCCCUACUUCAACCAGAACAGCUCUGCUGUUGUUUGUUUAUGUGUCUGGGUUAGGUCUUAUUUCUGCCCCAAAAGUUUUAAAACCACUGGAUAAGAUUACCUUUAAGGGUCUUUCCAGAUCUAAGGUCCUUUCCUACCCGCCAUGGGUGACUGGGAACUAUCUAAAGCAAGGUUUGCGACACAGAUAUCCACAGGGCAGGGCAGGUGACGCGAACAAGAGAAGAGGGCCCAGGGGGAGGCAGCAGGGAACGGUGAGAACUAGAGUGAACACAUGCAUCUGAGCAGACCCACUGUAUUUAGUUGUUGCUUUGAGGGAAUUCAGGAUCGGGGUUCCCAGAGUUGAUCAUUUUUCAAGAGAAGCCAGAAAUCUGGAUUUCUACGGGAAAUAUUUGGAUACAAGCCAAAUAAAGCAAAUGUAGCUUGUGGGCUACCAAUUUGCAAUCCCCCAUCUGUAGAGUGACUCCCAUACAGAAGGACUGUUGAGUCGAGGGAAGGAAUAAAAGUAUAAUUAGAGUGACUGUUUAUUCAGUGUCUCUUGAGUGCCAAGCCCUGAGCCACGAGCUUCGUGGACAUCAUCUUGUUCAUUCCUUGCCACGACCCUAUGGCCUCUGUCUGAGUCCUUUGCCAGAGUCUGUGUCCCACCCUGUCCCGUCCCUCGCAGGUCAGCUUUGGCCUGCGAAGCCCUGCAGUUUUUCUGUCCCUCCCAGGGGCAGCCAGCCCUGAGCAUGCCCCUCAAACUGCCUCCCUGCUCUCUUCCCCUUCCAGUUGAAGGACAGAGUUUAAUUUGGGAGCAGGCUGGAGAGGGGGCCCGUGAAGACGUGGCCGAGGUCGAGGGGAGGCAGUGGUGGGAGGAAGGGGAAGAGUGGUGACCAGACUGUCAAUUCCAGCAUUGUCAAAUGUGGAGUCCCAGCUGGCCCUGACUCCAUUCUUUGCCCUAAAGGCCCAGGUGAGUAGGUGGGAAACCAGGAAGGGAGAAAAAUCAAGUUACUGAGCAACUCCUGUGCCCCAAACCCUGUCCUUUAUGUAUGUUGCUUCAUUUAAUC